UGCCAGACUCCUACGGGAGGCAGCAGUGGGGGAUAUUGCACAAUGGGGGAAACCCUGAUGCAGCGACGCCGCGUGGGUGAAGAAGUAUUUCGGUAUGUAAAGCCCUAUCGGCAGGGAAGAAAUUGGACGGUACCUGACUAAGAAGCCCCGGCUAACUACGUGCCAGCAGCCGCGGUAAUACGUAGGGGGCAAGCGUUAUCCGGAUUCACUGGGUGUAAAGGGAGCGUAGACGGCCAUGCAAGCCUGGAGUGAAAGCCCGGGGCCCAACCCCGGGACUGCUCUGGGAACUGUGCGGCUGGAGUGCGGGAGGGGCAGGCGGAAUUCCUGGUGUAGCGGUGAAAUGCGUAGAUAUCAGGAGGAACACCGGCGGCGAAGGCGGCCUGCUGGACCGCGACUGACGUUGAGGCUCGAAAGCGUGGGGAGCAAACAGGAUUAGAUACCCCAGUA
rnacentral:rRNA from 1 species